rnacentral:rRNA from 1 species
GAUGAACGCUGGCGGCGUGCCUAAUACAUGCAAGUCGAGCGAACAGACGAGGAGCUUGCUCCUCUGACGUUAGCGGCGGACGGGUGAGUAACACGUGGAUAACCUACCUAUAAGACUGGGAUAACUUCGGGAAACCGGAGCUAAUACCGGAUAAUAUAUUGAACCGCAUGGUUCAAUAGUGAAAGACGGUUUUGCUGUCACUUAUAGAUGGAUCCGCGCCGCAUGAGCUAGUUGGUAAGGUAACGGCUUACCAAGGCAACGAUGCGUAGCCGACCUAAAGGGGUGGUCGGCCACACGGGCUCUGAGACACGGUCCAGACUCCGACGGUGGGCCGCAGUAGGGAAUCUUCCGCGAUGGAGGAAUGCCUGACGGUGCAACGCCGCGUGAGUGAUGAAGGUCUUCUGCUCGUAAAACUCUGUUAUUAGGAAAGAACAAAUGUGUAAGUAACUGUGCACGUCUUGACGGUACCUAAUCAGAAAGCCCCGGCUAACUACGUG